GACGAACGCUGGCGGCGUGCUUAACACAUGCAAGUCGAACGGAAAGGCCCUGCUUUUGUGGGGUGCUCGAGUGGCGAACGGGUGAGUAACACGUGAGUAACCUGCCCUUGACUUUGGGAUAACUUCAGGAAACUGAGGCUAAUACCGGAUAGGAGCUCCUGCUGCAUAGUGGGGGUUGGAAAGUUUCGGCGGUUGGGGAUGGACUCGCGGCUUAUCAGCUUGUUGGUGGGGUAGUGGCUUACCAAGGCUUUGACGGGUAGCCGGCCUGAGAGGGUGACCGGCCACAUUGGGACUGAGAUACGGCCCAGACUCCUACGGGAGGCAGCAGUGGGGAAUAUUGCACAAUGGGCGGAAGCCUGAUGCAGCAACGCCGCGUGCGGGAUGACGGCCUUCGGGUUGUAAACCGCUUUCGCCUGUGACGAAGCGUGAGUGACGGUAAUGGGUAAAGAAGCACCGGCUAACUACGUG
rnacentral:rRNA from 1 species